GACGAACGCUGGCGGCGUGCUUAACACAUGCAAGUCGAACGGAAAGGCCCUUCUUUUGUGGGGUGCUCGAGUGGCGAACGGGUGAGUAACACGUGAGUAACCUGCCCUUGACUUUGGGAUAACUUCAGGAAACUGGGGCUAAUACCGGAUAGGAGCUCCUGCUGCAUGGUGGGGGUUGGAUAUUUUCGGCGGUUGGGGAUGGACGCGCGGCUUAUCAGCUUGUUGGUGGGGUAGUGGCUUACCAAGGCUUUGACGGGUAGCCGGCCUGAGAGGGUGACCGGCCACAUUGGGACUGAGAUACGGCCCAGACUCCUACGGGAGGCAGCAGUGGGGAAUAUUGCACAAUGGGCGGAAGCCUGAUGCAGCAACGCCGCGUGCGGGAUGACGGCCUUCGGGUUGUAAACCGCUUUCGCCUGUGACGAAGCGUGAGUGACGGUAAUGGGUAAAGAAGCACCGGCUAACUACGUG
rnacentral:rRNA from 1 species